rnacentral:rRNA from 1 species
CACGUAGGGCGCAAGCGUUGUCCGGAAUUAUUGGGCGUAAAGAGCUCGUAGGCGGUCUGUUGCGUCCGCUGUGAAAACUCGGGGCUUAACCCCGAGCCUGCAGUGGAUACGGGCAGACUAGAGGUAGGUAGGGGAGAAUGGAAUUCCCGGUGUAGCGGUGAAAUGCGUAGAUAUCAAGCGGAACACCAGUGGCGAAAGCGAGUCCCUGGACAACUCCUGACACUGAGGCACGAAAGCUAGGGGAGCAAACAGG